CCUACGGGGGGCAGCAGUGGGGAAUAUUGCACAAUGGGCGCAAGCCUGAUGCAGCCAUGCCGCGUGUGUGAAGAAGGCCUUCGGGUUGUAAAGCGCUUUCAGCGGGGAGGAAGGCGGUGAGGUUAAUAACCUCAUCGAUUGACGUUACCCGCAGAAGAAGCACCGGCUAACUCCGUGCCAGCAGCCGCGGUAAUACGGAGGGUGCAAGCGUUAAUCGGAAUUACUGGGCGUAAAGCGCACGCAGGCGGUCUGUCAAGUCGGAUGUGAAAUCCCCGGGCUCAACCUGGGAACUGCAUUCGAAACUGGCAGGCUAGAGUCUUGUAGAGGGGGGUAGAAUUCCAGGUGUAGCGGUGAAAUGCGUAGAGAUCUGGAGGAAUACCGGUGGCGAAGGCGGCCCCCUGGACAAAGACUGACGCUCAGGUGCGAAAGCGUGGGGAGCAAACAGGAUUAGAUACCCGAGUAGUC
rnacentral:rRNA from 1 species